CAGGUGUGGAUAGCUGGGGCCCUCAGGAUCAUCAUUAACCCCAUUUUACAGAUGAGGAGACUGAGUCCCAAGAUCACCCAGAUACAAUAAUAAUUGUAGUAUUAACAUACAAGUUACCAUUGAAGGAGCACCGGCUGCGUUCCAGGCACUGUGCUAGACACUUCACAUGCGGUGAACCUGUGAGGCAGAUCCAUGACUGGCAACAUUGUACAGAGGGGAAAACUGAGGCUCAAAGAAGGCUGCAUUAGAACUAAGCAAGCUAUUGAUACCACACUGACCUAAAAAUAACAAAUGGCGAAGUCAGUGGCCUAGGAGGCUGGAGAAUCUUAACACCAGGUGGCCCAGGGCAUACCCAGAGCUUCUGGCAACCGAAAUCUGGAAAAAGUGGUAACAGUUCCAUCUGGUCAAAUGACAAAAGCCUAAAUUUGUAUCAAGUAGUGGCUGAUAACAGUCAAUUUCUACCUAGAAGGCACUACGUUGGAUCUAGGUGUUCAGGGUUCUUUAAGUCAUGCUCUGAAUGAAUAAGCAAUGAUUCCAAAGUAUGUGAAGCUAGCCUCACAGAUUGAAGUCCUUGAAAUCACACUUUCCAAACAGCUUCAAAUGAAGAACAAGCUCAUACAAACUCAAGAGUGCUUGAUCGAUGAGCAACUCCAGCAAGUGAAGACAUCACAGUCUGGGGCAGUGCAUGGCUGACCCCUUUACCUGUUGAACUAGCUGCUUUGGCCCUUGUUUCAAGGGAAAAGGGCUCUAGAGGAAUUGGGGGUUUGGUCCUCUUAAGGUCUGAGGUCUUUGGGUCUCUGGGUUUGGUCAGGCCCUUAGGGACUGUGGGCUUAGGCUGAGCAAGGGUAGCCUUGGGACAUGUCUCAAACUCUGGUGAAGUCAAGAAAGGCCACAGAGUGGAAAAUCCAGAAUCUACAUCCCAUUCGUGCCAGAGCCCUGUUCCAUCCACUCUCUGAGCAGAUGUCUCCCUACGAAGGCCCAAGGGACUCCUGAAAAGCAGGCACGAAUAGACCGCAGAGUUAAACAGUGCAAGGGCAUGCUGUGGACCCACCCACUUUGGGUAAAUCUUUUGACUUCUCUGUGAAUCAGAAAAUCAAUGGGAUAGACUAUGCCUCACAGGGCCACCCUAGGGAUCGAAUAAGAUGAUGGAUACCAAAGUGCUUCAUUAACAAUAAAGUGCCA
rnacentral:lncRNA from 10 species